rnacentral:rRNA from 1 species
AUAACUACUCGAAAGAGUAGCUAAUACCGCAUACGAUCUGAGGAUGAAAGCGGGGGACCUUCGGGCCUCGCGCGAUUGGAGCGGCCGAUGGCAGAUUAGGUAGUUGGUGGGAUAAAAGCUUACCAAGCCGACGAUCUGUAGCUGGUCUGAGAGGACGACCAGCCACACUGGGACUGAGACACGGCCCAGACUCCUACGGGAGGCAGCAGUGGGGAAUUUUGGACAAUGGGCGAAAGCCUGAUCCAGCAAUGCCGCGUGCAGGAUGAAGGCCUUCGGGUUGUAAACUGCUUUUGUACGGAACGAAAAAGCUUCUCCUAAUACGAGAGGCCCAUGACGGUACCGUAAGAAUAAGCCCCGGCUAACUACGUGCCAGCAGCCGCGGUAAUACGUAGGGUGCGAGCGUUAAUCGGAAUUACUGGGCGUAAAGCGUGCGCAGGCGGUUAUGUAAGUCAGAUGUGAAAUCCCCGGGCUCAACCUGGGAACUGCAUUUGWGACUGCAUGKCUAGAGUACGGUAGAGGGGGAUGGAAUUCCGCGUGUAGCAGUGAAAUGCGUAGAUAUGCGGAGGAACACCGAGUGGCGAAGGCAAUCCCCUGGACCUGUACUGACGCU